UAAGUUAUCUUAUAUAAUACCACAAAUACAUCUACGGGCUAUUUGGUGACUAAGUGGGCUUUCUGUCCUCUGUUCAGGGAAAGGCCCAGAUAAUUUAUUUUCCUAAAUCUUCUCUCCUCCACGCUUUCCCAUCUGCCUUAUUUAUUAACGUAACUAAAGUGAAGUUCAGUCUAGUCUUCUACAAUGGCUAUGCAUAGUCGCAAAGCUUUUACUGAUAGCAUUGUCGUGUUAGUUAUACUACCAUGGUAUCGCUGAAGAUUAUCUUACAGUAUUUCUUUUAUUACAUAAUGCACACAAGCUAAGGCAGCUAUGAUUCAACCCCUGUGCUAUAAGUAAUUCUUCUGUGGAUUGCACGUAACGAGCAUGCACAAACUGCUAAACCAGCCCAAGUCAUAAGCAAAAUCUAAUUUAAGAGAAGAAGGGAUAAAGGACGAGCGUUCGCAAUACACUUGCAAGCAGAGAGAAGGGGACAUCGCCAGGUCGGCUCCUUGUUCUGUGAGCCAAGCGAUGGCUGCUCACCCUGCCAGGCUUUGAGGUUCUCUCUUUAAGGAAGGAUGCUUCGCCAAAGUAGUCAACUCCUUUCUCUGCCAGUGCCCGUCAUUCCAGUCAAACCAUUCCUGCUCUUGAGCUCGGUUCCUGGGUUGCUGGUGCUGUGUUGCUGCCGGGUGGCAGUGGCCCUGCAGGUUAGGAGUAGCAACAGAGUCUGGAUGUAACCUUUGCUUUUCUUUGACAUAUACAGAUGCCAGAUACCAAACAGAAAUUUUCAAAGGGUUUUAGCCAAAACACCAGCCUGAGGACUCCCCUCAGCUCCAGUCACAGCCUCCUGUGUUGAAGUUUGGCUUGCUUGAGGAUGAUUGCAUGGGCAUUGGUGUAGCAAAAACCCAUCGGGAUUAGUGAAGAAUUAGCAAUAAAUUGUUCCAGGAGUGGCAGAAUUAGUGAAGCUAAUUCUAUUAGCUUAUUUGCUUCUGGAUUUAUUCAUUUAUUUAUCUAUCCUUACAUCGCUGCAGUAUUCCUUAGUUACGUAUUGAUGUUUCUUUGACCCCUCCAUGCAAUACCUCUCAGGCCUCUCUAUAUCCUCACGUACCUUCUCUAUUCCCUCCCUCUCCCUGUGCCCAGCCGUGCAACUAUUUAUAUCCGCUCUCCAUUUCUGUGAAACGAGGUGAACAGGUCUCACACCACAUUGCUACUGCCUUUCCAAGUGGGGACAUUUGUUUGAGUCCUUCCUGGCCAGAGACUGUUCACAAAACAGCUUGGAUCACUUCUAAGCUGUUUGGAACCUGCUAUGGCUUGAUCUGUGCGAUGGUGCUGUCAACUGCAUUUUGCAUGGUUUGUCUGGCUGGACCAACGCUAGUUCACCAGGAGAGAUAAGGACCUCUGGAACAUCAGGAUCUCCAGGAACACCUGGAGCAUCAGGAACAUGCACAUUCGGCGCAGGACUCGCCCACACAAGGCAGACAAGUGUCACAGUUUCUCCCCGACCUGCGGGACAGUCUCAUGAAGAUGACAGUCCUUCCACAGGACCUGUUGGGUGUCUCUCUGCUAACCUGGCCAGGAGCUGCACAAAUGAACAACUGCUGUCCAACCCAGCGGUGAGAGCACAGCAGCCUUGGUUUGGGCAGUCAGAGGCACCACAGCGGUUACGAGCCUCAGCCUGAACAGAAAGUCAGGAAAACCAGACAAGACUUCUCUAAAUGGAAGAGGUGUCUGUGGUUCCUGGUGCAGGACAUAGACGUUGCUCACGACGUGGUUCUUCACUCUGUGCUAGCUUCAAACGAGCGCUACGCUGCUGCUUCUUUGCUGUUUACUUCUCCCAGUCGCAAUGGAGUCAUCCGGAUGGAAAUCGCUUGUUUGGCUCUCUGUGAACAAAACUAAAUCCUCUUGGGAAGUUUCCAUCCGUCAGUCUGUAGGCCUGGCACAAAUUUGGAAGUACAGGAGAAUUUCUUGCAUUCUAACUUUCUAAUAACCUUUUCAAAAACUCAGAGGUUGAAUUUGGCCAGAGCUUUAGAAAAUAUUCAGGCCAGAGCUCAUUAUGUACAAACUGUUUCGCUUCCCUUUAAACCAACAUGAAGAAAAAGCUGAGGUUUCAGUUCUACAAACAGCUCAGCACUUCUGAACACCAGCUCAGCGGCUCUGCUCCAAGACCUCUGCUGCCUCCUCCCUUCCUACCUGGAACGCCUUGACACUGCACAUCCAGAACGUGUUUGGGGAAAUUUUAUGAAGAACAACUGUUAUGGAAAUCUUAGCUCAUCAUUUUUAUUUUUUUUUUUAAAUCAUUCGAACCACAAACUGUGCAAGGAUUUGCGACAGCCAAAUGAAACACAUUUUAGAGGUGGUUGUAUUCAUGGGAAGCGAAACGUAUAGGAAAUAUAAGAACCUUCUUCAAAAGGAAUCCUAUUUUUUCCCUACAUCUCAUGAAGUCGCUGAUUCUUCAGAACUUCCCAGAUGAAUCCAGAGUAAAAGCAGUGCCUCGCGAUGGGGUUUGACACUAUUUUUGCCACAGUCAAAGCGAAAGCUCCCAUUGUAAGCAGUAAAACCCUGGAGGGAAUG